rnacentral:rRNA from 1 species
GACGAACGCUGGCGGCGUGCUUAACACAUGCAAGUCGAACGAUGACGACCGAGCUUGCUCGGUCUGAUUAGCGACGAGCGGGUGAGUAACACGUGAGCAACCUGCCCUUCACUCUGGGAUAACCUCGGGAAAUCGGGGCUAAUACCGGAUAUGAGCUCCUGUCGCAUGGCGGGUGUUGGAAAGUUUUUCGGUGAAGGAUGGGCUCGCGGCCUAUCAGUUUGUUGGUGAGGUAGUGGCUCACCAAGGCGAUGACGGGUAGCCGGCCUGAGAGGGCGACCGGCCACACUGGGACUGAGACACGGCCCAGACUCCUACGGGAGGCAGCAGUGGGGAGUAUUGCACAAUGGGCGAAAGCCUGAUGCAGCGACGCCGCGUGAGGGAUGACGGCCUUCGGGUUGUAAACCUCUUUCAGCAGGGAAGAAGCGAAAGUGACGGUACCUGCAGAAGAAGCGCCGGCUAACUACGUG